UACGAAGGGGGCUAGCGUUGUUCGGAAUUACUGGGCGUAAAGAGUGCGUAGGCGGUGCUCUAAGUCUGUUGUGAAAUCUCCCGGCUCAACUGGGAGGGUGCGGCGGAAACUAGAGUGCUAGAGUGUGGGAGAGGUAAGCGGAAUUCCUGGUGUAGCGGUGAAAUGCGUAGAUAUUGGGAAGAACACCGGUGGCGUAAGCGACUUGCUGGGCUGUAACUGACGCUGAGGAACGAAAGCGUGGGUAGCAAACAGG
rnacentral:rRNA from 1 species